CGCGUAGGUGGUUCGAUAAGUCGGAGGUGAAAUCCCUCGGCUCAACCGAGGACCCGCGUCCGAUACUGUCGAACUUGAGUGCAGGAGAGGAGAGCGGGAUUCCCAGUGUAGCGGUGAAAUGCGUAGAUAUUGGGAGGAACACCGGUGGCGAAGGCGGCUCUCUGGACUGUUACUGACACUGAGGCGCGAAAGCUAGGGGAGCAAACGGGAUUAGAUACCCCGGUAGUCCUAGCCGUAAACGAUGGGCACUAGGUGUGGGAGGUAUCGACCCCUUCCGUGCCGCAGCUAACGCAUUAAGUGCCCCGCCUGGGGAGUACGGCCGCAAGGUUGAA
rnacentral:rRNA from 1 species